rnacentral:rRNA from 1 species
CACGAACGCUGGCGGCAGGCUUAACACGUGCAAGUCGAGCGCCCCGCAAGGGGAGCGGCAGACGGGUGAGUAACGCGUGGGAAUCUACCCAUCUCUACGGAAUAACGCAUGGAAACGUGUGCUAAUACCGUAUAAGUCCUUCGGGAGAAAGAUUUAUCGGAGAUGGAUGAGCCCGCGUUGGAUUAGCUAGUUGGUGGGGUAAAGGCCUACCAAGGCGACGAUCCAUAGCUGGUCUGAGAGGAUGAUCAGCCACACUGGGACUGAGACACGGCCCAGACUCCUACGGGAGGCAGCAGUGGGGAAUAUUGGACAAUGGGCGCAAGCCUGAUCCAGCCAUGCCGCGUGAGUGAUGAAGGCCCUAGGGUUGUAAAGCUCUUUCACCGGUGAAGAUAAUGACGGUAACCGGAGAAGAAGCCCCGGCUAACUCUGUGCCAGCCGCCGCAGUAACAC